CCUACGGGAGGCAGCAGUGGGGAAUUUUGGGCAAUGGAGGCAACUCUGACCCAGCAACGCCGCGUGAAUGAUGCAGGUCUCCGGAUUGUAAAGUUCUUUACUAAGGGCAGAAGUAAGUGAUGGUCCCUUAGGAAUAAGCGUCGGCUACCUCCGUGCCAGCCGCGGCGGUACGACGUAGGAGGCAAGCGUUAUCCGGAAUGACUGGGGGUAAAGGGUGCGUAGGUGGUUUGACAAGUUGGUAGCAUAACGCCGGAGCUCAACUUCGGAACUACUACUAAAACUGUUGGACUCGAGUGAAGGGGGGGUAACUGGAAUGUCUGGUGUAGCGGUGGAAUGCGUAGAUAUUAGGAAGAACACCGAUUGCGAAGGCGAGUUGCUAAACUGUAACUGACACUGAGGCACGAAAGCGUGGGGAGCAAACAGGAUUAGAUACCCCUGUAGUC
rnacentral:rRNA from 1 species